rnacentral:rRNA from 1 species
UCCGUAGGUGAACCUGCGGAAGGAUCAUUAAUGAAUAUUAGGGUGCUCUUUUCAUCAAAGAGGCCUGACCUUCAUUCUUCUACCCUGUGCACUAUUUCUAUUUGGCAGUUGGUAGUAGGGCUUGUCCCUACGACUCUGCUGAAUUCACUCUUAAACUCUACAAGUCUAAGAAUGUUAAAACUAUAAACUAAAAAAACUUUCAACAACGGAUCUCUUGGCUCUCGCAUCGAUGAAGAACGCAGCGAAAUGCGAUAAGUAAUGUGAAUUGCAGAAUUCAGUGAAUCAUCGAAUCUUUGAACGCAUCUUGCGCUCGCUGGUAUUCCGGCGAGCAUGCCUGUUUGAGUGUCAUGAACUCUUCAACCCUUCAAUUCCUUGUUGAAUUGUAAGGUGUUUGGAUUUUGAGCGCUUGCUGGCCUUGGAACCUUUAUGGCUCCAAAGGCGUAGCUCGUUCGUAAUACAUUAGCAUCUCAAUUUCGAGUAUUCGGAUUGACUCGGCGUAAUAGACUUUAUUCGCUGAGGACACCGCAAGGUGGCCGAAUCUUGAGGUAGAAGCUUCUAACUCCCUCUGAAGUCAACUUCUAAGAUUAGACCUCAGAUCAGGCAGGACUACCCGCUGAACUUAAGCAUAUCAAUAAGCGGAGGA